GGAAUGCCAGAUACGAUGAGGACAUGACCAAGAAGCAGAUCCUGGAGAAAGAGAGAUAAGAAGGAUAUCUUAUCUAGGAAAAGGGCAUUUUUAGAGGCUCACCAGAAAUAGGAGUGGGGACUAAGCUACUUCCAGCUGUACUUGGAAUUAGAGAACUCUCGCCCUUUAGCUACAUUCAGACCUGGACAUGUUUGUUCUGAGAGGCCAUGUGAGGGUCCUGAGACUCGUCCCCACGGAGGUGUCCUCAAAGCCUAGCAAGAAUUCUAGGUCCUUAAACUGAGCCCACCCUCCCUCUGACUGGCCACCUUGAUCCGGUGCUUCCUUUUCAAGACCACAGAGAUCAUCCCCUAAGGAGGCAGGUCCACAUUCCCCCAGCAAGUGCUGAAGCUGACAGUCAGAACUCAGCCAGCAGAACCAGAGGAAGGUCAUGAGGCCAAAUUACAGACACGUCUGGGGUUCCAAAAACUGCUCUAAAGAAGGGCCUGCCAUGUAGCCUCCAGACUCCGCCCAGGACUUUCAGUUGACCUGGGAACUCCCCACACACAGAGGCCCCUGCCAGACACCCAGGUGAGCUUGACACUCC